rnacentral:rRNA from 1 species
CAGCAGCCGCGGUAAUACAGAGGAUGCAAGCGUUAUCCGGAAUGAUUGGGCGUAAAGCGUCUGUAGGUGGCUUUUCAAGUCCGCCGUCAAAUCCCCGGGCUCAACCCUGGACAGGCAGUGGAAACUACCAAGCUGGAGUAUGGUAGGGGCAGAGGGAAUUUCCAGUGGAGCGGUGAAAUGCGUUGAGAUUGGAAAGAACACCAAUGGCAAAAGCACUCUGCUGGGCCAACACUGACACUGGGAGACGAAAGCUAGGGGAGAAAAUGGGAUUAGAUACCCGGGUAGUCCCUGUCUCUUAUAC